GUAGGUGAACCUGCGGAAGGAUCAUUAACACGUAUCCAACGUUAAACCCCUGUGAACUUGUUUUCAACACCUAUUUCACCCCCUUUUUGCUAGUUGACUUUUAUAUGUUGUCUCUUUCGUACUUUACUGUGCGACUGAUUCACACGUUUAUUAUUUGAACGUUAAAAUUACAACUCUUAGCAAUGGAUAUCUUGGUUCUC
rnacentral:misc_RNA from 1 species